CGCCGCCUGGGCAGGCCGCCUCCCGCCCCGCCGGCUGCGGCCUUCCCGCAGAGACCGGGAAAAGCGGCCCUCACCCGCGGGUUUUCCACUGCCGCGGGCCUCUUGUUAAAAUCAGUGACCGUCAAUCAACCCAGGACACCGUCUCUUUUGCAAAAUAUCCCCCAAAACUGCCGUGACCUCUCUGGUGAUCCAACUGCUGCCUUUGGUCUCCUCCACUGCGCUCUGGUUUGCUGCACCUCUGCGGAAAGCGCUGCUAAUUGAUAAUUAUCCUGAUAAUUGAUAGCUGAUAAUUGAUAAUUAUUCUGUGGGGCCGGGACAGCGGCUGUGCAGCCUGUGGAGAGCUGCAGGGAGGGACAGUGGGGCCCGAACCCGCUGUCCAGUGCAGCUCUGGGUGCUGGCCUUUCACCUUGAGCUCACUUCCAGGAAAAUUCCCAACAGCCUUAAUGUGAAGGGUACAGGAGGGGGCAGUUUUCUCCUUUGAAACAUCUCGAGGUGUCCAGCUGUCCCACUGUGAUGGAGAACAGUGAAGUACCUUCAUAAUAGUAUCAGGAGAGCAGUGCUCUGGCUUAGGUGCUCUGUUGGAAUGAAAAUCAAAUUAUAAAUGAAGAUUCGUGGAGAGGCCAUGGAGAGAAGACAUGGAUGGAAUUAGAGGGCAGAGAGAGCAGCGCAGAGUAUCAAGAUUAGCCUGGAAGAAGAAGAAAGGACUCAGGGAAAAGUAAAUUUUUUUUCCUAGAGAAGAAGGGUUGUUUUGCUUAACAAAGAGUGCAAGCGAUAUGAGUUUACAAAGAAAGCCCAGCACAACAGUGGUAUAAAACUGGAUGGAAUAUGCUGGAAAUAGAAAUGUAUCUCCUGUAUCCUUAGAAUGUUAAAGCCUUGCUCAGCAAAACAAAGGAAGUGAUAAGAGUUCCUGCUCUACCCAGGAAUGUUCAAGAGCACAGCUUUUACUGACAUAAGUAUAUAUGAAGUGCAGGCUUUGGAAGUGAACUGCUGCACUAGUUCUACAAAGUCAGCUUCAAAAUUGCACUGUGAGAUGUAACUCUUGCAAUUUUCCAUUUGAGUUUUAGCUGAAAAAAAUAUAGAAUACAAUGCCACUUAUGCAGAAAACCACAGCAAUGCAUAGUACUUAGUUCAAGAACAUGCACUAAGGUGUUUGUGAAUGGUCCCACAACAAGAUUAACUAAAUUAGGAAGUAACCAAAUAUUCAAAAGGAAUGGAGAAAUCCAAGAAUUGAAUGAUCUGCUCAGACACUUCACAAACAGACCCAACAGGCAACAUUUUCCCAAGAGGUUGCUCAUGGAAAUUAUUUGCUUCAUUUCAGUUGUUAACAAGCAUGAGCAGCUGAGCUCCACCUCCUCUGCGGCACAGAAGUGAUCUCCAAGGCUUUUGCCUACCAGCAUUACCAGCAGAAAAUGAUUAGGUUUGGACAGGUCCUCCUCUGUUAUUUCAGUGACUCUCAAAUCCAUCUGGCUGCUUUGAGUAGAUGUGGAGAAAAAACAUGAAAAAUAUAUAUCCUGGGUUUACUUUGAUCUCUAAAAAUAAGGAUGAUUUUAUUUUAGGCAUAUAAUAAUAUUGUUAACCUCUGUUCACUAAGCAAUCCUUGCUUUUCCCUUGGUUCUCAGUUUGACACAUCUCCAGCAUGAAAUGGACUAAGAUUGCCAUGAAACUGAAAGCUCUGAGUGUGGAAAUUGGGGAAUGCAUAGACAGAUUCUUUUUUCCUUUUUAAACAUAUGCCAAUGAAUAAAUCCUUUUUCCUACCCCCUCAUAAGUUUUCUGAAAUUCUUGGUAAAUAUAACUACAAACCUCAGCUAGAAAGCCCAAAGCAAUUUUCCCUUAGGGGACUUCCGUUAGAGCCACAGAAAAUCAAAGGCCAAGAACCAGGGAUUGUCUCAAGCCUGAAAUGGAACACUGGUCCUGGUGAAAACUGCCACGAAGAUCAGGUCACUUUUCGACAUGAGCUUUGCCAAUGGGAAAGCAAGAGAAAAGCAGGAGAUCACUGCAGAGCACUAAAAAGAGGCAGGAAGCAGCUGCAAAUGUUCUGAUACUGACACAUGUUUGGCCACCAUGAGCGGUUUAAAGGAGCAAGUAUGGAUGUAGAGGUAAAUCAGAGAGGAUGGGCAUGUUAAACUAUAGUUGUUAGGUGCAUUGUCUCAUUGAAGUUGUAAGGUAACUUUCUUGCCUAUUAAGCAUUGUUCAGAAAAUUUAAAAAUCUAAACAUGUAAAAUAAAAUAUGAACAUGAAGCACUUUGAUUCACAGUAUUUCUAGUCCCUAUAGUGCACAGUAAACUUCUGUACCAUUGUUACCUGAGACAUACAUGAUGUAAGGAUAUUUUUUAAGAAGAGACAAUUGCUUAAAUAUUGGCAGAGUAUUCUUUGCAAUCUUUAUGGCAUACUGCUUGCACCAAUCUGCUGCAGAUGACGUGUGAACAGAGACAUUUAAGAUGGGUUAGAAGAACUCCUGCUUCCAGCACUUGCACUGGAAUAAAACCUUCCUUACCUGAGCAGGCUGUCCCGACGUGGAAGGACAGGUUUUCUGGGGAAGGCAAGGAGCAUUGACUUGUCAGCUUACACACAUAUGGUGAAGGGCAGGACACUUGUAAAACUUCCACAAGCCCAUGGCUGGGGAUCUGCCUCUUUAAUGGCCAAGAAGCCACUGAAUAUUUCAUAAUAACCAUAAUUCCAGGAAAUAGAAACACUGAAUGACAGAACCCACUACUUUGUUGUCAUACAUUCUGUUACCUAAACCUUGCCAUAUACAAUUUCAGGACACCUAAGAAGGUCUGCAAUAUAUUACAUAGUUUUUACAGUGAAAGCAGAAGCUAUAUCUAAACACAUAGAGAAGGGAGUCAAAAGAAAAAUGGGUAUUGAGGUUUAUCAUAUAUUUGUCUGCAACCAGGACCAGCCCUAGUGACGGCCACACAAAGUUUGGGCAGCAGCUGUUGAUUGCCUUAAUUAAAAGGCAUUCAAAAUUUAAGGCUGCUCAGCUAUCUUAAGAGUAUCUGAAAAAAUUGUCCAUAAACUGGAGUUAUUUGCAUAUAUGUGUUUAAACAUUAUCAAUGUUAUGGAGAAAAAACAGUCCUUCAAAUUAUGUUUCAGCUAUGUUAGUUUUAAUUGAAGGCGUUUGGAGAUAAAUACCUGUUACAGAUUUUACAGAGAUUUUGCUACCAAUGGCAGAACAAUUUCUUGUUUAAUGUUGUUGAGUUACAUGAACAGGCAUUGAGAAAUUCAGUAAUUCUAAAAAUAGUGAAUACUUCUUCUGUUCUUCUUCUUACUAUCCUUUAAUGAAACUUUUUGUCAAAGUAGUUGCAUAUUACCUAGUAAUUAAACAUCCAAAGUACUUAUGGAACAUUUAUUUUCAUGAAAUACAUGUUUUCAUUAGUUAGCAUUUAUAUGUUGUAGUUGUUUUGCUACAUGUGACAGAAUUUUUAAAGUUGCCUCACCUUUGAAAGUAUCUCAAAUAUUAAAAUAUCUCAAAUAUUUAAUUUUAACUUAUUAAUGUUGUCAUUUGUUUUAAUUCAGAAAUAAGACUGUGACAAGCUCAGGUAAAACAUGCUAAUAAGGGACUAAUAUGUAGCAGAAAAGAAUAAGUGCAUUA